AGGGUGUCAAUAUGUCCGAGUGGUUAAGGAGACAGACUCGAUAUCUGUUGGGCUAUGCCUACGCAGGUUUGAAUCCUGCUGUUGAUAAAUUUUUAGUAUAUGUCCGAGAGGU